GGAGAGAAAAUGGCGUCCACGGAUUAUAGUACCUACAGCCAAGCUGCAGCCCUGCAGGGCUACAGUGCUUACACUGCCCAGCCCACUUAAGGAUAUGCGCAGACCACCCAGGCAUAUGGGCAGCAAAGCUAUGGAACCUAUGGACAGCCCACUGAUGUCAGCUAUACCCAAGCUCAGACCACUGCAACUUAUGGGCAGACUGCCCAUGCGACUUCUUAUGGACAGGCUCCCACUGGUUAUACUACUCCAACUGCCCCCCAGGCGUACAGCCAGCCUGUCCGGGGGUAUGGCACUGGUGCUUAUGAUACCACCACUGCUACAGUCACCACCACCCAGGCCUCCUAUGCAGCUCAGUCUGCUUAUGGCACUCAACCUGCUUACCCAGCCUAUGGGCAGCAGCCGGCAGCUACCGCUCCUACCAGCUAUUCUACACAGCUGACUAGUUAUGAUCAGAGCAAUUACUCUCAGCAGAACACCUAUGGGCAGCUGAGCAGCUAUGGACAGCAGAGUAGCUAUAGUCAACAAAGCAGCUAUGGGCAGCAGCCUCCCAGUAGUUACCCGCCCCCCCCCCAAACUGGAUCCUACAGCCAGGCUCCAAGUCAAUAUAGCCAACAGAGCAGCAGCUAUGGGCAGCAGAGUUCAUUCCGACAGGACCACCCCAGUAGCAUGGGUGUUUAUGGGCAGGAGUCUGGAGGAUUUUCUGGACCAGGAGAGAACUGGAGCAUGAGUGGCCCUGAUAACCAGCCACUUUCCCGGGGCAGGGGAAGAGGGGGAUUUGAUUGUGGAGGCAGAGGUGGGCGGGGAGGAGGAUGUGGUGGAAUGGGCACUGGAGAGAGAGGUGGCUUCAAUAAGCCUGGUGGACCCAUGGAUAAAGGACCAUAUCUUGAUCUAGGCCCACCUGCAGAUCUGGAUGAAGACUCUGACAACAGUGCAAUUUAUGUGCAAGGAUUAAAUGACAAUGUGACCCUAGAUGAUCUGGCAGACUUCUUUAAGCAGUGUGGGGUUGUUAAGAUGAACAAGAGAACUAGACAACCCAUGAUCCACAUCUACCUGGACAAGGAAACAGGAAAGCCCAAAGGUGAUGCCACAGUGUCCUAUGAAGACCCACCCAACUGCAAAGGCUGCUGUGGAGUGGUUUGAUGGUAAAGAUUUUCAGGGGAGCAAAUGUAAAGUCUCUCUCACUUGGAAGAAGCCUCCAAUGAACAGCAUGCAGGGUGGUAUGCCACCCCGUGAGGGCAGAGGGCUGCCACCACUCCGUGGAGGUCCUGGAGGCCCAGGAGGUCCUGGGGGACCCAUGCUUCGUAUGGGAGGCCGUGGAGAAGAUAGAGGAGUUUCCCUCCGAGGGGCCCCUGGGGCUCCAGAGGUAACCCCUCAGGAGGAGGAAUCAUCCAGCACCGAGCUGGAGACUGGCAGUGUCCCAACCCGGGUUGUGGAAACCAGAACUUUGCCUGGAGAACAGAAUGCAACCAGUGGAAAGCCCCAAAGCCUGAAGGCUUCCUCCCACCACCCUUCCUGCCCCUGGGUGUUGAUCAUGGCAGAGGUGACCCUGGUGGCAUACGGGGAGAAAGAGGUGGUCUCAUGGACCGUGGUGGCCCUGGUGGAAUGUUCAGAGGUGGUCGUAGUGGAGACAGAGGUGGCUGCCGUGGUGGCCGGGGUAUGGACCGAGGUGGUUUUGGUGGAGGAAGACGAGGUGGCCCUGGAGGCCCUUCUGGACCUUUGAUGGAACAGAUGGGAGGAAGAAGAGGCGGACAUGGAGGACUUGGAAAAAUGGAUAAAGGCGAGCACCGUCAGGAACGCAGAAACCGGCCCUACUAGAUGAGAGAUCCCACAGAGCUGCAUUGACUACCAGAAUUAUUUUUUAAACCAGAAAAUGUUUUAAAUUUAUAAUUCCAUAUUUAUAUUGGCCACAACAUUAUGACUAUUCCUUGUCUGUACUUUAGUAUUUUUCACCACUUGUGAAGAAACAUUAAAACAAGUUAAAUAGUAGUGUGCCGAGUUUAUUUUUUCUUUUAAAGAUGGUUGUUUAACUAAAACUUAACAGUGGGAACCCCUUGUGAGCAUGCUCAGUAUCA